AGAAUCAACGCUGGCGGCGUGCCUAACACAUGCAAGUCGAACGAGAAAGUGGAGCAAUCCAUGAGUAAAGUGGCGCACGGGUGAGUAACACGUGACUAACCUACCCUUGAGUGGGGAAUAACCUCGGGAAACCGGGCUAAUACCGCAUAAUGUCUACGGACCAAAGGAGCAAUUCGCUGGAAGAGGGGUCGCGGCCGAUUAGCUAGUUGGCGGGUAACGCCCACCAAGGCAAUGAUCGGUAG
rnacentral:rRNA from 1 species